UUUAUAAGCUUAAAGACUCAAAAACAAGAUUCAAAAGUCACAAACAUUGCUAUGUUACGUGAAAACAAAAGCAUUAUUCUAACAGUGGUGAUGAUGGAGAAGCAGGGAUCCAAGACCCACAUUGCUGCCCCAAACACCUUUUGACAGGUCCCAGAUCUUGUAAAUGUUUCAGCAAUAUCAGAUUGGAUUGUGCAUAUUCCUCAUAGCUUUGACUGGUUUUUUAGCUACAGUACUGAAGUUCUUUAAUUGAUGGAUAAGACCAUUUCAGAAGCAGGCCUUGAAAGAAAGAAUGGUGGCAAGGAAGGGCUGCCAACUGCAUCCAACAGGAAGGGAGUCUAGCAGUGAUUCUGGGAAUCAAGAAGAUAAUUACCACAUGCCCCAAAGAAAGGCCAUGAACACCUGGA